GGAUUGAUGAAAAUCAGAUUCCAGAUGAAGUAUUGGAAGCUGCAGGAAGUCAAAUGUUGCGAAUAGUGAUCAACAUGAUACAUACAGAUGUAGUAGCCAUCCUUGGUCAGUGUGAAGAAGACACCACAAAAGUCUGAGGAGUUCUUCUGUGACUUCCUGUUGAGACCAAACCUGAAUCCUGCUAAGAGGAAGGUAGAACAAGGA
rnacentral:lncRNA from 12 species